rnacentral:misc_RNA from 2 species
AAUUCUCAACUUCAAAAAGAUUUUUGUCUUUUUUGAAGCUUGGACUAUGGGAGUUUGCUGGUGUCACUAUCAGCUCUUCUCAAAUGCAUUAGCGGAACUCUAAAAGGACCGGCUUUGGUUUGAUAAUUAUAUCUAUGCCGCUGCUGUGGACUUGUUCAGCUUCUAAUGGUCUUCGGACUGUCUCCUUGUUGAGGCAUACACAUUUUUAA